UCCACCCUUGUGAAGUCUCUGGCUAUCCAACUCGAUCUAUCUUUUUUCUCAUUUUGUACACCUCCAAGAAGUCAUCUGUCAUCCUUUUCACUUCUAAGAGAAAAACCUGACCUCACUCAACCUCUCCUCUUAAAAUACCCUCUCUCGUCCAGGCAGAAUCCUGGUUAAUUUCCUCUGCACCCUCUCUGAGGCUUCCCUAGCCUUCAUUUAACAAGAUGACUAGAACUGAACACUAUAUUCCAGGUGUGGUCUAACCAGGGUUUUAUAGAGCUGCAACAUUACUUCGCAUCUCUGGAACUCAAUCCUGACUAAUGAAGGAACCUUCUAAACCACCCUAUCAACUUGCACAGCAACCUUGAUGUAAAAUAAGAGGUGUAAAAUAGAGCUGAUUAUCAAUCAGGUACCAAUGAAUAGGUAAAGAGAAAGGGGGAAACAGAUCAGUAAAGAUGGGUCCUAGGCUGUACAGUUUUGGAUUACGAUGGGAACAGUUCUUUUGUUGAAGCCACUCUUGAGACUUGGAUUCGUGUUCAUUUCUGCUGUGUCAUUCAGUGAACUUGAUCCAAGUACCUCCCUGCUGGUCCGUGCUCUGGAAGAAAUCUCCCAGGAGGUUGGGCAUUUGGGUUGCCUUCAGAUUAAUUUACUAACCAGGACACAUGUACAAUAGCAAUUCCUCGCAUUCCAGACACAACCUGGGUGAUUUCUUUUAACUCUGUUCUCACCUCCUAGCAUCCCAACAACAAGCCACAAUGAUAGCCUCUAAGAUGAAAACCAUAACAUUCAGAGCAGAAUUAGACCAUUCAGCCCAUCAGGUCAGCUCCGCCAUUCCAUCAUGAUUGAUUUAUUAUCCCUCUGAACUCCAUUCUCCUGCCUUCUUCCCGCAACCUUUGACAUCCUUACUAAUGAAGAACCAGUAAUGCCCUGGUAAAGAUUUUACUGCUAAUGUUGUAGGGCAUUUCAUGUAAAGGUUUUUCUGGAGAAGUAGUGUGUUUUUCUGGCAGUGUUUGGGUUACCGUUAAAGAUGAUUAGGAAUGUUGUUUUCACCAAUCAGGAAGGUGGAACUGGGAGAGGGUUCUAGAGGAUGCUGGGGGAGAGGUUUUUGUGAUGGACUCUGAGGCGGGUGAUGUCUUUUUGGCGGGAGAUAAAGAUAGAAGAAGCUCGAGAGAACCAGCCGUAGGGUUUGAUCUGGCAGAAAUGCAUGAUCCAAUGAAGCGCCAGAGGGGGAAUUCUACAGGGGAUCAGUGAAUACGAGUUGGUGCCGUGAGUGUAUUGGAUACAGCCCGGCUUUUGGAAGAUUUGCACAUUUGACUGUUUAAUUAUAAUGAGCCCUUUUUUAUUAUUUCCUUUAAUAACUCUUUGAUUAAGUUUACUUUCAUAAAUAUACUUUCUUUAUAAUUGUAUGUGGUGUAUGAUCUGUUAUUUCUUGCCGAUGGGUGAUUGGAUGGGGUAGUAAAUCACAUAGCAUUCACACAAUCCAGGGUUUGGGUGGGUGAGACAUCCCAACCUCAUGGGUUUGGCAGAACCAAAGUUGUAUACACACUAGACAAAAGGGAUCUGAGAAAGGAGGCCUUCUCGCCACGGAGUCGAGAGGCUGUUAGCGACGGGCUAACAAGCUGCAUUUCUAGACACACCCAGUAAAAAGAGGCUUUGUUGUGGGAGCUAUCGUCUCGGAUUGAAUUCGUUGAAUACUUUGUGAUUGCUCGAAGAAUUGAUUAAGUAGUUUCUGUUUAAGCCUGUGUUAAAUUAUUGUCCAGGAAAGUGAUUAAGAUACGUGGUCAUGGUCGCCACAGGGACUAAGUGUUGGUGUGAUUCAAGACUAAUGCUUGUGUUCUGAGCGGGGUGGAUGUCCGCAGCCCAGGUGAAUUGUUGAUCAGGGUUUUAAGUCGAGUUGAAGUAUUAGGGAAAGUUAUGAUCAUGGAGCAGCAAUUUGACUGAAUGGCAGACACAGAUGUGGUUUUAGUUCAGACUAGUCCAUGACGGGAGUCUAUCAGCCUGUUACCAUUGGGGUCCCGGGAAAGGCAGGACCAUGGCCCUCCAUACUUUCAGAGCAGAGGGGAGUGUAAGCGAGGAUGUCAAAUUGGUAGGCGAGUUUCCUGUAGCUGAGGGCAGAGACUUUAAAGACAAGUUGCUCUCACUUCUGCAGAGUGAGGGGAAGGAGUGGUCUGAUGUGGGAGUUCUAAUGAGUCCUCAAGCGAGAGGUGAAAAUUCUUGAGUUGGUAUUGGCCUUUAAGUCCCUGGCAGAUAAAUGGCAAAGUGCACUGGUGGAGAGUCAAAGUUAUCGUAGGCUGAGGAGGUUCUUGGGAGUGAAGUCCACCCCUGUUGGGGGAGGGGAAUAUGAGUCUUGGGCGGAGCAGACAUCUCAGAUAUGGAUGAGUGGCAGUGCUCUGAUAAUAUGAAAAGACAGCAUCUGGAAGAGAGUCUAACAUGUCUGACUGCUGAAGUGGUGAGGUCCUUGAAGGCAGAGUCCUUGAAUCCCUUUGCUACUUCUGUGGGCUGCAAACAAAUGCUAGAAAGCGUUUUUGGCAUGACAGGCAGCCCAGUGGAGUUUAUGGUGGGGUUUAAGCGCAUGUUCCAGAAGAAAGGAGAGGAUCUUUCAGCCAGCAUUUUUCGGAUAGAGAGAGUCACUUUGCUUGCAGCGUAGAGGGACCAUCCAACUGGCUGAGGUGAAUCAAUUAACGAUGCACCAAAUGGCGAAGGGUGCACAGUCACGUGAUGUGAUUGCUUUCAGCCUCCGAAUGUCUCACAAGACAUUCUCACAAUGUCUUCCUCGUUUGUUGAGCUGAUCAGAGAAGUAAGGGAGGAGGAAAACGCGAUGGAGGAGUGGGAGGCCUCCGUCAGCAGGGCACAGAAACCCGGUAGUAGCUUCCAAUGCUGAAGUGACCCCUGAUGACCCACAGGCGGGGGUUUUACAGGAGUUUGUGAAAGAUUUUUGAGCUGAGAUAUCCCGGCUGUUAUCAGCAGGUGCUGUCACCAAGCAUAACAAAGCCGAUAGGGAGCCAGACCCCCUGACGGGACACACUAAGCAGAGGGCUGCUAUUGAACGGGGUCCCUUGCAAAGGGGAGCGAGCGAUAUUGUCUGUUACAACUGUGGUGAGGUGGGACAUUUCAGAUGGGAGUGUGAAAGAUGGGAAAUCCUUCGGAAAGUGAACCAAUGGUUAUUUAAACAAAGGGAAAUCAGGAAACCUCGGAGUGACCCAGUGAGGGAAUGGCCUGGCAUCUCCGGGGAGCACAUUCCAAUCAAUGUAUCAAGGAAAACACUAAAGUUCAAAAUGCUAUUCCUGAAGGCUUAGUGGGGCCAAGCUCCAGUGUAUCUCUACGGAUGAAGGGUAUUCAUGCUAGAGCCAUACUUGACACAGGUUCUCAGGUUACUCUGCUGUACAGAUCCUUCAACAACUGGUAUUUGACGCUUUUACCACUGACGCCACUCUGCGUGCAAGAGCUCUGGGGCCUUAGCACUAAUGACUACCCGUAUGAUGGUUACUUGUCGUUGAAGCUGGAGUUUUCAGAGGCAGAUGUGGGAGUAGCUGAGAUCCUUGAUAUAUUAGUGUUAGUUUGUCUGGACCCAUUCAAGAAGGGCAAAGCUUCAAUUAUUGUGGGAACAAAUAAUCCUAUUGUGAGAGCCCCUGAAAGGAGAGAAUUGGAGACAGCUUUCCGAAAAUCUUGCCCAUUCACUCGGUGUUCAGAGCUCUUUUUGAGAAGGUGUAAGCCUACCCUAGGACCUGUUGCUUUUGUCAGCCAAGAGUCUGUCACCCACUGAGCGAAACUACCCACACACAAAUUGGAGUUUCCAGCAUUGAAGUGGCCUCUAGCAGAUAACUUAAGUGAUUAUCUAUAUGGUGCCAAACUCGAAGUGAGGAUGGACUCCACUGCCUUAUAUCCUGACCCUGGCGAAAUUGGAUGCCACAAGCCAUCAGUGGUUGGCGGUGUUGUCUGCCUGUGAUUUCAACCUGAAGUACCAGCAGGGGAGUCGGAACAUUGAGGCAGAUGCAUUGUCCCGACGUGCAAAUGAAGGGCUGGAAGUGGACAGAGAGUGGGAGAGUGUUCCUGCACCUGGAGUUAAAGCAAUGUGCCAGUUUCCCGCCAUGAGGAACCAGAGGCAAGGUGAGGGCAGGACCGAGCAGUACAUCAUUUGAAAGCCACUGGUAGUGCUAUUCCACAAGCUUAUUGCAACCUGACCUGCUCUGAAUACGAAGCAGUUGCCUGCGUUGAGUUCUGGGGAAGUGGCUGCCGUUCAGUGAGAUGACCCUUGUAUAGGCACCGUAUGGACAGCUGUUGUGGAAGGGGAUACGGCUCGUGCUGAAAAGACGAAACACCCUGCCAUACCUCUACUGCUGAGAGAAAGGAACAAACUGGAGUUGAGGAACCAGGUUCUGUACCGGGUCACGUCUCCUCCAUUCCCAGUUGAUUUUGCCUGAGAAGCAUCGGAGGAUUGUGUUGGAGUCACUUCAUGAAGAUUCAAGUCACUUGGGGUUUGACAAGAUCUAUGGAUUGGUCCAGGAUCGGUCCUACUGGCCCCGAAUGAAGCUGGAGAUGGAAGAAUACGUAAGUCGUGCGUUCGAAGUACUUGGAGAAAGAUGCUGCCUGUGGGCCGUUCCUUUACCUCAUUUGCAGAAUGUGGGCCACUUGAACUAGUUUGUAUGGAUUUCCUCUGCAUAGAGCCUGAUUCCAGAAACACAGCGAACGCCUUGGUUUUUACCGAUCACUACACCAGAUAUGCUCAAGCCUUCCCUACAAAGGAUCAGAGGGAGUCUACUGUGGCCUAAGUGUUAUGGGAAAAGCAUUUUGUUCAUUAUGGCUUUCCCAGACAGAUACACAGCGAUCCGGAAGGGAUUUUGGGAGUAGGCUCAUAAAUGAAUUUCUGAGCAUGAUUGGAGUCGAGGAGGUGUAUACUGUACCUUAUCACCCUCAGGGUGAUUCACAGCCCAACAGGCUCAAUGGGACAUUGCUAGACAUGCUUGGAACCCGGGAUCUCAGCAAGAAGAACAAAUGAAGUCAGCCUAUUGGGCACCUGGUUCAUUGCUACAACUGUACACAAAAUGAAGCUACCGGAUAAUCGCCAUAUUGUUUGCUGUUUGAGCACAAAGCAAGAUUGACUGCAGACCUCUGUUUUGGGACUGGUGGGAAAGACUUGCCAUACAGAAGAUUUAUCUUCAGUAUGUGUUUGACAUGAGGACAGAAUUAUAAAAGGCUUAUGAACUAGCAGAGGUCUCUGCUACUAAGCAGAAUCAAAGAACUAAGGGAGAUAUGAUCAAACGAUUAGGUUCUCCCAGAUGAUGCCUGGAGACAAGAGUUCUCACAAGGAAUGUGGGGCUACCAGGGAAGCAGAAGUUGUCUGACUGCUGGGUGGCCAAGCCUCACGUGGUGGAGAUCCAGAUGCCAAAUGUGCCAGUUUUCUGGGUGAAACCAAAAGACAGGAAUGGACCUGUCAAAAUUCUCCAUCGGAACUACCUUUUACCUCUAGGACAAGAGGUACAUGUUGAUCCCAAACCUGUUAUGGACCCUACACCUAGUAGGAAGACACUGCAGCAACGUAGGAGAACAACAAGACAGUCAGUGGAGGGAUUUGAAGGUGACUUAAUUGCUGAAUGUGUACGGAAUCAGAGGAUGAGGAAAUAGAGGUGUGGUAUAUGUUACCCUUUGCAAACUCCCCAACAAUUGAUGAAGAGAUUCCCAAACCUCCCCAUACUGAUGCAAAUGUAGUUGGGGGGGAGGGGGACUAGCAGAGGACAGGCAGGCUUGCGGCUAGACAAUGAAGGGAAACUGGGCUCCAAAGUAACUGAGGAUGAAGCUGAACUCAGUCAGGUGACCGGAGACCUGAGCUGCCAGAAGGCACGAGUAAUGGACGGGGGGAGGCCUCUCCACGUACACAGGAAAGAUCUCAGUGAGUGUCUGAGACUGAAGUAGUAGAUGAUAGGGUAAGAAGGUCUCAAAGAGUCAAGAAACCCCUGGAAAGGCUAGGCAAUGUCACACUGGGGGAGCAGUGUGUUGUGCCUGUCUCCCAAGUGAGAUAUGUCACUACCAUUUACAAAUGGAUUGGAGGUCCUGGCAUCAUGAAAUUCUUUUGAAAACUGUGUUACUAAUGAGGAGUUGAUAAAUUUCAAAUUCAUGAAGAAUGUAACACCCUGGUAAAGAUUUUGCUGCUAAUGUUGUAGGGUAUUUCAUGUAAUGAAUGGUUUUCUGUAGAAGCAGUGUGCUCUGCUGGCAGUGUUUGGGUUACCAUUAAAGAUAAGGGAAUGUUGUGUCUUCCAGUCAGGAAGGUUCUAGAGAACGCUGGGGGAGAGGUUUUCGUGAUGGACACUGAGGUGAGUCAAGGUCUUUUUCGGCGAGAGAUGGAGAGAGAAGCAGCUCGGGAGAACUGGCUGUAGAAUUCGAUCCAGCAGGAAUGCACAAUCCAAUGGAGCCCAAGAGGGGAAAUUCUAUCGGUGGGGUCUUUGAUUAUGCUGGCUGCUUUCCCGAGACAGUGAGAAGUAAAGAAGUCCACGGAAAAGAAGCUCAUUUCCAAGAAGUGCUGAGCCAUGACCACAACUCUCUGCGGCUUCCUGCUGUCGUGGGCAGAGCAGUUACCAUGCUGCACCAGGAUAGGAUGCAUCCUAUGGCACAUCGAUAAAACUGAUGUUGCCUGACCUGCAAAGUUCCUCCAGCAUUUUGUGUAUGUCGCUCUGGAUUUCCAGCAUCUGCAAGAUCUCGUGUUUAAAGCUUACUUGGUCAGGUACAUGAUGGGAAAGGUUUAGAAGCUAGCAGCUAUAUUUCAUGACGAGUUCGUAUGUCAACAAAGAUUCCAGCAAAUUUCUACAGAUACACCAAGGAGAGCUUUCUAACUGGGGUGUUGCAUCACUGUGCCAAUGCACAAGAACAGAAAAAGCUACAGAGUGUUGUAAGCUCAGCCAGCUCCAUCACAGGCACUAGCCUCUCCACUGUCGAGGACACGGUCAAAAGAGCAAUGCUUCAGGAAGGCAGCAUCCAUCAUGAAGGACCCCGACCAUCCAGGAUAUGCCCUCUUCUCAUCAGAGCCUGAAGACACACACUCAACAUUUUAUGAACUGCUUCUUCCCUUCUGCCAUCAGAUUUCUGAAUGGUCCAUGAAUCCAUAAACAUUACCUCACUGUAGUUGCAUGACAUAAUUAUAUAUUUUUAUUGUAAUUUAUAGUAUAUCUUAUAUAUUGCAUUGUACUGCUCCAUAAAGCAACAAAUUUCAUGACAUAUAUCAGUGAUAAUAAACCUGAUUCUUAACCUUAUUUUACAGUGGCUUACUGACAAAAGCUCCCAAAAUCCAGAUCCAAGCCCCUGAUGACAUUUCCUGCAAUGUGGCAGAACUGGUUUUUCAUUCAAUUCUUCCCUAAGGCUCACAGAGUGCUCACAAAACUCUGUUUUAGCGCCUGACCUCCAUCUGGCACUCUUAAUCAUGAGCUCACUGCUUGACAAAUAUUAGAACUCUUCAUGGAAGAACUAGUAGACAGAAUGCAUUCGAAUAUGCAGAAGACAUUUAAUGUCACCAAAACAGAAGAGCUGGUCACCAACUUUAGGAUGAGGUCAGUGCACACGCCUGUUUACAUCAACGAUGCAGAGGUUGACAGGGCUGGGAUUUUCAAGUUCCUGGGCCAGUAGCCUAUCCUGGUCCAACCAUACUCAAGAAAGCUCAGCAAACCCUCUACUUCCUCAGGAGGCUAAAGGAAUUUGGCACGUAUCUACCUAUUUUUACUGAUGCAGCAUAAAAAAACAUCCUAUCUCAAUGCAUCACGGCAUCGAAUGGCAACUGCUCUGACCAUGACCACUCUGAAAUUUCACGUUAUUGUUUUUACCUACACUGCAAUUUCUCUGUAGCUGGUGCAUUUUAUGCUGCAUCUGCUAUUGUUCUAGCUCAACGCACCAUGUAAUGAUAGGUCUGCAUGAGCAAUAUGCAAGACAAGAUUUUCAUUGGACCUCUGUACAUGUGACAAUAAUAAACCAAUUCCAAUCCAGAACUGAGAUAUCAAGAUGUCUUUAUACAAAACACAAAAUUAACAUGCUCGUACUCCAAUCCAGAACCGAGGGAUCGCGUCUUGGCACAGAACACAAUUAUUAGCAUGCUGAAACGCUAAGCAAUUAGGAAGCUUAAUAGAACAUUGGCCUUUAUUACAAUUGGGUGAAGUAAAAAGAUGGAGCUAGUCAAGCUAAAACUGCAGUGGAGAGACCACACCUACAUUGCUGUUUCUUGAUCUGGUCUCUUUAGAACAUAAAACACUACAGCACAGUACAGGUCCUUUGGCCCAUGAUGUUGUGCCAACCUUUUAACCUCCUCAAAGAUCAAUCUAAUGCUUCCCUCCUACAUAGCCCUCCAUUUUUCUAUCAUCUAUUUGUCUACCUAAGAGUCUCUUCAAAAUCCAUAAUGUAUCUGCUUCUACCAUCACCCCGGCAGAGUGUUCCACACACUCACCACUCUCUCGGUGUAAAAAAAACUUACCUCUGACAUCCCCCCCUAUACUUUCCUCCAAUCACCUUAAAAUUAUGUGUUCACAAUUUUGCCAUGGUUGCUCUGGGAAAAGACGCUGGCUGUCCUUAGGUAUAAAGGGAUUACUUGGAUUGGAUACAGUUCAGGGAAAAUUCAGAGUGUUGACAGGAUGUUCAAUGAAGGAGAUGUCUGAAGGAGAAACACAGAGACGGCUGAUGUGACCUCACUGAAGUUUGAAGGAAAGAGAGGCUACCUUAUUGUAACACAAGAGUCAAGCCGGAUGCUGAGAGAAUGUUGCCCCUAUUGAAAGCAUGUAGAAUUGGAAGGGCAUAGUUUCAGUCCAUUUCACACAGACACAAGGAGGAAUUUCUCUCCUCAAAUCAAGAGACUUUGCAGUCCUUUAUCCCAGACAGCUAGGGGGUGGAAUCAUGGAAUACGUUCAGGGUAGGGACAUGUGGAUAUUUGGUCUACAGAGGAGGCAAGUGAUAUGAAAGUGGAACUGAAGCAAAGUUCAACUCUGCCAUAUUCUUACUGAAUAGCACCCCAGCCCUACUCACACUCCUGGUCUUUAUGCUCCAUGUUCAUUACCAUGGUGGGAAUAGUUUUGUGCAUUGUAAUCUCUGCAUUUAAACAGCACAUUCUUUUCUUUCUAACAAAGUUGCUGGCACACACUGCAAACUCAGGCCUGAGACACUAAACCACCAUCAUCCCACCUGUAAAACAGCACAAUUAUACCAAGCAUUUCACAGGACCAUUAAAAAACAAUAACUUACUUUUGGAAAUACAAGUAGUGCCUCGUUGACUGUGGGGUUAUAUAGAUGCAAGUAUUUAUAUUCAUGAGGAUAGGACACAUUACAUU